CCUACGGGAGGCAGCAGUGAGGAAUAUUGGUCAAUGGACGAGAGUCUGAACCAGCCAAGUAGCGUGAAGGAUGACUGCCCUAUGGGUUGUAAACUUCUUUUAUAUGGGAAUGAAAUGUUCCACGUGUGGGCUUUUGUAUGUACCCUAUGAAUAAGGAUCGGCUAACUCCGUGCCAGCAGCCGCGGUAAUACGGAGGAUCCGAGCGUUAUCCGGAUUUAUUGGGUUUAAAGGGAGCGUAGGUGGAUUGUUAAGUCAGUUGUGAAAGUUUGCGGCUCAACCGUAAAAUUGCAGUUGAAACUGGCAGUCUUGAGUACAGUAGAGGUGGGCGGAAUUCGUGGUGUAGCGGUGAUAUGCUUAGAUAUCACGAAGAACUCCGAUUGCGAAGGCAGCUCACUGGACUGCAACUGACACUGAGGCUCGAAAGUGUGGGUAUCAAACAGGAUUAGAUACCCCAGUAGUC
rnacentral:rRNA from 1 species